ACGAGACAGGAUAGGGUCCCGCCUUACAAAUUGGGGAACAGAUAAAAAAACCUAGAGCCAAGCGGUAAAACAAGACCUUCCUGCUCCUCCUCCCCUCACCCGGCGGCGGCUCCCCACCCCUGCCUGCGCACCGCCUCUUCCUCCUUCUGACAGCGGCAGCGGUGAGCAUGAGAGCAGCGGAAGCGGCUGGACACCAUAAGCUGGCCGAGGUGGUCUACGUCGAGGAACGGCCGCGCCCGACGCCGUCCUCCAACCCGUACUUCCCAACCCGAUGCAUGCCCAAGGAUUCCGGCGCACCUCGAAGGAAGGACCAAGGCCUGAGACGACUUGUCUUGUCCUCUUCUUCCUCUAACAUCUCCCUGCCGGCUGCUGCUUAUUAGGGAGGGAGGGAGGGAGGGGAAAAGAUAGAUGGCGGCGGCGGCUGGACCUGGCUGAGUUGUUUGGGGAGCUGCGCACACGUCGAGCGACGGCGAGCGCAUCCGACGCCGACACACCGAGCAAGGAGGUCUGUGCGAGUUAGAGGCUAUAUGAGACAAGGGCUUGCUCCUAUUAAAUGGAAGGGCCAUAAUUAUUAGUCCAAGUGAUAUUGAAGUUACAUUUGAGAAUUUUCCCUACUACCUUAGCGAGAAUACGAAGGAUGUGCUCCUAUCAUGUUCAUUCUUACAUUUGGAAAAGAAGGGAUUCAUUGAGCAGUUCUCCGAAAUUUCUUCAAUAAACCAGCGAAUUUAUCAUCUGGUCCAUCAGGGAAUAAAGGUGAGAGAGCAAAUGAGUUUCUGAAGUCAGAUGAGAUUAUAUAGCAGGUUGACUCUUUGUAGUGCUGGUUCAGAUGUAGGUCAGGUUACAUGUUAGCCAAAAAAACACAUUAUAUUGCCUUUGUUUUUUACAUCGAGGUGUAAAUGUUGAGAAGUAUAUUAUUCUGAUUGAUAAUAGUUUAAGGAGCAUUACAAAGGAUCGCUACAAAGAAUUUGAAGGAUUCAAGGAAAUGUUUUCUCAGUCUUAUCCAUCACAUAACUUUGGGUUCUAUCAUUUGUGUGGCACAUACAUUUGUAAAGAAGUGAACUGUAUUUGCAACUCUAAAUUUUAAUCAAUGCAAAUCGACAACUAA